rnacentral:misc_RNA from 1 species
CGAGAAUAUGCCAAAUCAAACAGUUUUUUGGAAAAUCCACCUGCAGCAUCAACCUUUUUACGCACGCCAUCUCGAACCCGAUCAAGAAUGGCAGGGACAGCUGCCAUCACACUUGGGCUUAAAGCAGAGGCAUCUCCUUUUGUUCCUUUCUUUAUCUUAUUUGAAGUAUCAGUAAGGGUCAGAGGAGAACCAUAUCCUAUAGAACCACCAAUCCCAGGUACUAUGGUCUCUGCUGCAAGCUCGAGAAUAUGAGCAAGCGGCAGGUAUGCUAAGUAAACAUCCUUGCUUCCAAGACCGGGUACAAUUGUCAGAACAGCAGAAGCUGUAGCUAGAACAUUCCUGUGUGUCAUCAUCACACCCUUGGGCAAUCCAGUACUUCCGCUGGUAUACAUGAUCACUGCAGUAUCAGCUGCAACAGGUAAAUCUGGGUCAACAGGGUUUCCUCGGCCAAGAGUCUCCACCUCGGAAAAGGUCUUCAAUACCCAGUUGCUCCCUGCAGCAAUGAUGGCACUUGAUGGAAUCUCAUUGUCUAUGCAUAUCACACGUUUGACGGUAUCAAGUUGUCCACUAACGUCUGCAAGUUUCUUUAGUUCCUUUUGCCGACAAAUGACAGUAGUAACCUCUGUCUGAUUUAGUGAGUAACACAAGGCCUCUUCACCAAGUGAUGCAUAAAUAGUAACCACUGUCACAUUGCGUCUGAAGCAACUCUGUAAUGCCAUUAACCAUUCUUCACAUGUAUCAGCAAAAAUGGCCACACGUUCAUCUCUUUGGUGCCCAAGUAGUGCCAAACCAGAGGAAAAAUUGCACACAAUCUCAAAUGCCUGACCAUAACUCAACCACUCAUAAUCACCCAAGUGUAGUUUCUCGAACGACCUUCCAUCUGCAGAUACUUCCAUCUCUCUGGAAAGCAGUUUCCGACUUCCUAGUAACUUCUUGUGAUGAUACUUUUUGCAUGAAUACUCAAAAAGCUCUGCCAAGGUUGUGAUUCCAUCCCAUGCUGUUUCUACCGGUGCAUUGAACCGACAAUUUCUGAUAGCAUAGCCAGGUUCACCACCAACAUCAGCAGGCAAGCCUCGCUUUUUUCGACUUCUUCUAUUCUGAAGGAGAAUAGUUACUACCAGAGGAACAAGAACACCAGCAACAUAAGGCCCCAUCUAAUUUACCCUUGAAGAAUAAUGGGAGAAAUUGAAGAAAAGGACUAGUGUUGGGUAUUGGGGGGGUUUAUUAAGG